GUCCCUUUGGCGUCAUCUGAUAAAAUUGGAACGAUACAGAGAAGAUUAGCAUGAUCCUUGCGCAAGGAUGACAUGCACAAAUCGAGAAAUGAUUCAAAGUUUU